rnacentral:rRNA from 1 species
AAUAUUGCACAAUGGGGGAAACCCUGAUGCAGCGACGCCGCGUGAGCGAAGAAGGCCUUCGGGUCGUAAAGCUCUGUCCUAAGGGAAGAAACGGACGGUACCUUAGGAGGAAGCCCCGGCUAACUACGUGCCAGCAGCCGCGGUAAUACGUAGGGGGCGAGCGUUGUCCGGAAUUACUGGGUGUAAAGGGCCCGUAGGCGGUUAUUUAAGUCAGCUGUGAAAGUCCAGGGCUUAACCCUGGAAUUGCAAUUGAAACUGAAUAACUUGAGAUAAGGAGAGGAGAGCGGAAUUCCUAGUGUAGCGGUGAAAUGCGUAGAUAUUAGGAAGAACACCAGUGGCGAAGGCGGCUCUCUGGCCUUACCCUGACGCUGAGGGGCGAAAGCGUGGGUAGCGAAC